AAAGGCCAGCGACCACACAAACCUUAUCCUCUCAGUUUCGUCUCCUCCCCUUCCCUCGUCCCCGCUCCCUCCACUGGCCGCCAGCCGCCGCCACUCCCUCGCUCCUAGAUCAGGCCAAGACGUCGCCAUCGCCUGGGAACCUCACGCCGCAGCUCCUCCCCUGCGCCCUCUUCUUCGCGGGCGACCGAUGGCGCAGCUCAGCCUCCACAUCUGGCUCUUCUUCGUCAUUUUCAGCAGUUGGCCGAGCUGCUUUGCCACCGUCCUCCCCACCCCUUCUCCUCCCUGCUUUGCCACCGUGCUCCCCACCCCUUCUCCUCCCCGUAUCCAUGGGUUCUUGGAGGUGGUAAGGAAAAGGCUGCAGCGAAGCAGCAGCGCCGUGCGCAGCUCUGAUGGCCAGCACAGCCAACGCUGCUGUCGUGCCACCACCCUCAUCGCCAAGAACAAGUCCACCUGCAGGCCUAGAUUCGUUGAGACAGAGCUACAGAUGCUAAUAAUGGUGGUGCUAAGAUGAGGAUCUGAGGUUCCCCUCUCCCAUGUCAAAUCGCCUUUUUGUAUUGGGCUCGGUCUGAAUUACUCUGUGUGUGCAAAAGAAAUAUCAAUGCUAAUUAGUUUUACACUGAAAAAACAAGACAACCAAUGUAUGAACUUUUCAGUCUUCUGUAUUUGCAGAUUAGUUCCUUAAAAAAACCAUCUCCACUAACAUGUGUGUGUGGCCUAGGAAGGAAUAGUACGAUGGCGGCAAGCUGGAGCGACAAGGUUGCCAUGGCUGCUCCUCCAUAUAAAGAUUUUCAUGCUUGCUUGUUAUCUUCAUGCCAAUCCAUGUCUUUCAUUAGAAGAGUUGAACACCGGCAAGGGAUAACAUCAGUAGGCCGGCUUGCUUUGAGAUUAAUAGUGCCGACGGAGAUGUUAUUUGGAAUUGCUUUGUGUGCAAUUAAUUAUCAGAUGCCCCUGCGCCGCGAGGACUUACUACAGACAAUUGCAAUCUGCAUACCAGAUUGGUUCUGAUCAGAUGAUCUUUCAGAUGGAUGUUGAGUAAUUUCAUGCAAAUUUGAAAGAUCGUUUAAAGGAGAAGCAACGUUAUGUACCUGUGUGCUCCCUACCAGUGGUGCACCUUGAAGUCAGACUGGGUUGUCAUAUGCUUCUUCCUUAAGAUUCAGAAUACUGGGAUGUGAUGUACCUUGAAGUUCAGGUUCUAAUAAAUAUUUGGCUUGGUCAAAGCAAAGCAGUUACGAAGUUGAUACCCAUUUUGCUAGAAUAUCCAGCUUCGGUGAAAGGACCGGAAGAUAACCACAAUCUUUUGGGACGCAUGUUUGGCUUUGUAUCACUUGCAAGGUCUUGGAGUUUUCAAGAUAGUGGACAUGGGUCACAUCUUCAGUUGUUAUCAAGGAGUUUGUUGCUGAAGAAAUACAACAUGGUCGUAGGUGGCUCUAUGGUGUUCUGGUCUUGCGAGCUUGUGGUAGGCCAGUGCUGAAAAGGUGUGUUGCAAUGCCAGCAUGCAGCCGGCGGCCGUCGAGGAAACUCAAGCACACUUUCCUCUUCUACUGUACACCUAGGUUAAUCAUGUAAUCAUUACAUAGAUAUUUCAGAAGCAUAUCACAGGAUUUCUUUGCUUGAACUGGGAAUGAUAAAUCUCCGCAGCUAUAUUCUUCUUUGUUCCCAUAUAUCCAGUCGUUCAAGAUUGACCUAUUAGUUAGACUUACAGAGUUUUUGAGUAGGUGCACUAAUGUGUCAUGUUCCAUGCUCCAGGACAUGCUGAAGAAACUGCAACUGUCCAAUUAAAUAACAGUCAGAGCACGAGAUAUAUGGUUCUGAGUGAAAGGAAAAUACUGAAAAAUUAUAGCCAGAAUGGGUUUGUCAUUGAAGAUUAUGCUACCGCUUCUAUGUACAAUAUAUUUCUCUACAUUUUCUUUACGUCUAUUUAUUACUAAUUACUACUUAUUAUCGGCUUGCAUUGCUUAACUGAUCUGUGUAAUUUUGUGUUGGUCCCAGUAAUUAAGUCAACUACAUUCUCUUUGUUCC